UGUAUAAUGGGUCAGCGACUUAUAUUCUGUAGCAAGGUUAACCGAAUAGGGGAGCCGAAGGGAAACCGAGUCUUAACUGGGCGUUAAGUUGCAGGGUAUAGACCCGAAACCCGGUGAUCUAGCCAUGGGCAGGUUGAAGGUUGGGUAACACUAACUGGAGGACCGAACCGACUAAUGUUGAAAAAUUAGCGGAUGACUUGUGGCUGGGGGUGAAAGGCCAAUCAAACCGGGAGAUAGCUGGUUCUCCCCGAAAGCUAUUUAGGUAGCGCCUCGUGAAUUCAUCUCCGG
rnacentral:rRNA from 1 species